UACGGAGGGGGCUAGCGUUGUUCGGAAUUACUGGGCGUAAAGCGCGCGUAGGCGGCUUUGUAAGUUAGAGGUGAAAGCCCGGAGCUCAACUCCGGAACUGCCUUUAAGACUGCAUCGCUAGAAUUGUGGAGAGGUGAGUGGAAUUCCGAGUGUAGAGGUGAAAUUCGUAGAUAUUCGGAAGAACACCAGUGGCGAAGGCGACUCACUGGACACAUAUUGACGCUGAGGUGCGAAAGCGUGGGGAGCAAACAGG
rnacentral:rRNA from 2 species